UUUCCGUAGGUGAACCUGCGGAAGGAUCAUUCAUAAUAAGUGUUUUAUGGCACUUUUUUAAAUCCAUAUUCACCUUGUGUGCAAUGUCAGGGUUGAUUUUUCUCUCGAGAGGAUCAGCCCCAAACAUCAACUAUAUCUCAACUCUUUGUCUGAAAAUAUUAUGAAUAAAACAAUUCAAAAUACAACUUUCAACAACGGAUCUCUUGGCUCUC
rnacentral:misc_RNA from 1 species